rnacentral:lncRNA from 1 species
AGGAAGAGAAACAGGCUCUGCAGAGCGAGUUUGGGCCAAGUAAAAGUAGGGGAAGAAGCGCAGCCUACAGCGUGAGAGCGGCCACCAUGCAAGAGGCACACAGCGGCAAAAUCUCAAAGUAGACGUCCUUUGGCGUCACUCGCGCCUGAGUUCUCGCGAGAAGUCCGCGGCAGGGCUUUGGGAACCGCUCUGCGCAGGCGCCCCGGGGUUCUGCGGAGACCGGGCCUUGCUUCUUUCGCAGUCCCUGCUAGGCCGGGUUCCCGUCUCACUCGGUGGAGUGGGGCUGCUGGCUGCCCACUUCCCACCGGAGCAGACGGAGCCGCCCUGUGUGCUGGGAGGGCGCGCCGGGCCCGAGCGGGGCUGCGGACCGAAAGUCACAACAGUCAGAGACCACCAUACGAAUACAGGACAGGCAGAAUCCCGACCCCUUUCCUGCUGCUCAUUAAAAGCAUGAUUCUGUUCCUUCUAAAACUGCCAGAGACUUAAAAGCCAUUUUUGCUAUGAAUCAUGACUCUUCACUUGGGCCUACAAAUGCCUAAUAGGUAAAUAAAAAUAACAAAAUUUGACUUUCACUUUAUAUCCCUUGUUACAUAAAUCUCAGGUCAACUCUUUUCUCAGCUCUUACAGAAGUAUGUUGUUGAUCAUUGAGGGGGUGACUGCCUAGGAGCUGGCCAGACACGAUUAGUUCGUCCUGAAUUUAUAGGACAUCAUCCUCUGCAAGACAGAGGAUACCAAGAUGAGAAGGUUAUAGGGACAUUGGGCUAUGCCCAGAAGCCGCCUGUCCUAAACUUGUGAUCGUGUGGAUUCCAGGAAAGGUGAGGUCUGUCAGGUCUGAGACCACUGCAGACAGCGAUCAUACCUUCUGUAAAAGCCCCACCACAGACAUCA